rnacentral:rRNA from 1 species
UACGUAGGGGGCUAGCGUUGUCCGGAAUCAUUGGGCGUAAAGCGCGUGUAGGCGGUCCGGUAAGUCCGCUGUGAAAGUCGAGGGCUCAACCCUCGAAUGCCGGUGGAUACUGUCGGGCUAGAGUGCGGAAGAGGCGAGUGGAAUUCCUGGUGUAGCGGUGAAAUGCGUAGAUAUCGAGAGGAACACCUGCGGCGAAGGCGGGUAGCUGGGCCGACACUGACGCUGAUGCGCGAAAGCCAGGGGAGCGAACGGG